rnacentral:rRNA from 1 species
AACGCGAAGAACCUUACCUGGGCUCGAACGGCUUCUCAACGGCAGUGGAAACACUGCUACUCCGCAAGGGGGUGGAGUCGAGGUGCUGCAUGGCUGUCGUCAGCUCGUGUCGUGAGAUGUUGGGUUAAGUCCCGCAACGAGCGCAACCCUUGUCCUGUUUUGGCAUGCCGCAAGGCGCAACUAUCAGGAGACCGCCAGCGAUAAGCUGGAGGAAGGUGGGGAUGACGUCAAGUCAUCAUGGCCUUUAUGUCCAGGGCUACACACGUGCUACAAUGGGCGGUACAAAGCGCUGCAAACCCGCGAGGGGGAGCUAAUCGCAAAAAACCGUCCUCAGUUCGGAUCGCAGGCUGCAACUCGCCUGCGUGAAGCUGGAAUCGCUAGUAAUGGCAUAUCAGAACGAUGCCGUGAAUACGUUCCCGGGCCUUGUACACACCGCUACAGU